rnacentral:rRNA from 1 species
GGACUACAGGGGUUUCUAAUCCUGUUUGAUCCCCACGCUUUCGUGCCUCAGCGUCAAUAAGACCAUAGUAAGCUGCCUUCGCAAUCGGUGUUCUGUGACAUAUCUAUGCAUUUCACCGCUACUUGUCACAUUCCGCCUACCUCUAGUCCAUUCAAGCCAAUCAGUAUCAAGGGCACUGCGAUAGUUGAGCUACCGUCUUUCACCCCUGACUUAAUUGGCCGCCUACGCACCCUUUAAACCCAAUAAAUCCGGAUAACGCUUGGAUCCUCCGUAUUACCGCGGCUGCUGGCAC